UAGUUGCCAUCAUUCAGUUGGGCACUCUAGCGAGACUGCCGGUAAUAAACCGGAGGAAGGUGGGGAUGACGUCAAAUCAUCAUGCCCCUUAUGACCUGGGCUACACACGUGCUACAAUGGUUGGUACAACGAGUUGCGAGUCGGUGACGGCGAGCUAAUCUCUUAAAGCCAAUCUCAGUUCGGAUUGUAGGCUGCAACUCGCCUACAUGAAGUCGGAAUCGCUAGUAAUCGCGGAUCAGCACGCCGCGGUGAAUACGUUCCCGGGCCUUGUACACACCGCCCGUCACACCACGAGAGUUUGUAACACCCGAAGUCGGUGAGGUAACCUUUUGGAGCCAGCCGCCUAAGGUGGGACAGAUGAUUGGGGUGAAGUCGUAACAAGGUAGCCGUAUCGGAAGGUGCGGCUGGAUCACCUCCUUUCUAAGGAAAAACGGAA
rnacentral:rRNA from 1 species